rnacentral:sRNA from 1 species
UAGUCGCCAGUAUGCUUGGUGUGAGGGC